rnacentral:lncRNA from 1 species
CAGGGGCCGCAGCGCGGGGUUUUCUGGUCGUGGUAUUUACGCUUUGCCCCCGGCGCCGCCGUCGCGUGGAGAGGCUGCGCAGGUCGCGCGGCUCGGAUCUCCGGUGUGGGGCCGUCCCGGGCGGUCUGUCCGGAGCCGCGAGCCGGUGGGCGCUGGAGGGAGUGGGUGGGGCUGCAGGUGGCGCGCCUGGAGGACCUCGGAGUCGGAAGAGACGAUGGCCGCGGGGCCCCUGGCAGGCCGCCCUCGGGACCUUGGAACCUCAAGCCAGAUUCUGUUGCCCACCUAGAACUUGGAAUAGAGCAGUGCAUGAUGGACAGAGGGCUCUCCCAAGAUUCCCGCCUAGGUGAGAUGGGAAAGGAUCUUUACAGUCAGUGUUUGUUUAUAUGUUCCUUCAUAUCUUCCUUCUCUGCUGCUUUUCAUUACCUUUUCAUUUCCAUAAUUCCAUCUGGGAUCAUUUUCCUUUUGCUUAGAGUUCCCUUUAUCAUUUCUUUUAGAGUGACAAAACGCCUUCAUUUUGUGUUUGCCUGAAAAUGCCUUUAUUUCAUCUUCAUUUUGGAAAGAUACUGUAAACAGAAUUUUAGGUUGUCGGGUUUUGGGUUUUGUUUUUUUUUUU